UUAAAUAAUGGGAUAUUUUUCCCUGUAAGCUUUACUCUCUUUGAAUUUAACUUUUUCUCUUAGAACAGCAAAACCAGGCUUAGCUGACUCAGGGAAAGAAUUGCCAGUUAGUCAGUCAAGCAUAAGUACAGGGUCAUAUGUUCACCAUUCUUAAAUAUCUGCUUUGUAUCACAGAUACAAUGUGAGUUUAGCCAGUGAUAAACUUCGGAACUCAAUUAGUCUUUAGUAACUGUGUACUGUUACUCUAAACUUUGCUUUGAAGCCAGGGAUAUUCUACCAACAAAUAUGACAUAAAAAUCAAUUUCCCUUGCGCUCCUGCCAACUGUCUGAUAAGGAAUUUUUUGCAUGUUCUUUCUGACUGGAGAGAAGCUUGUGUGUUGGUCCAGGAUUACUGGCAUGACCUGUAACAUCAAUAGCUCACAAUCCUGAAACAUCUCAUGAGAAACUGGCCUUGUGUACUGUGAGUCUUCGAGAGCUGAGGUGCUGAAGUGAAGGGCAAAGUGUGACAUGUGAUCAAGCACAGAGGUGACAAGGAGACGAUUGCCACUCAGUGUCCAUCGGUCUCUGCAGGAGAACAUGAAGAGGAACUUUGGGAAGCGAUCACAGUUUAAUAAAAAUGAUGGUGGCAUAGAAGACUUUGUGCAGGGGUUGGGAUGAGCAGGUCCUCGGUCAAGUGGAUAAAAAUGUAAGUGGGACAAAACCAAGGACAGAGCUUUCAGGCCCAGCACA